GCGGAGUAAAUUCCAUGAUUCCUAUUUAUUUGCUUGUCGUGGAUUCCCAUAGAAGCCGGUGAACCGCCAUUUAUUUUGGUUAUUUUCGUCGGUAAUUCCCACAUCAAUAUGGUAAGUUGAAUAACUAUAAACUUGAAUUAGAUUAUUCCAGUUCCAUGCAAGACUUAAUCCUCCACGAGAACCUUCAGCUGAGACAUCCAAACCAUUUUGAAAACCACAUCGUCUCCGAACACUUUCCAUUCUCUUAUUAUCUAAUUUUGUCUCCAUCAAGAAGACCAAUUGGGGA
rnacentral:lncRNA from 1 species